rnacentral:rRNA from 1 species
GACGGAGGGUGCUAGCGUUGUUCGGAAUCACUGGGCGUAAAGGGCGCGUAGGCGGCUUUGGCCGUCGGCUGUGAAAGCCCGGGGCUCAACCCCGGAGGUGCAGCCGAGACCCCGAAGCUGGAGGCCGGAAGAGGAGGGUGGAAUACCCAGUGUAGAGGUGAAAUUCGUAGAUAUUGGGUGGAACACCGGUGGCGAAAGCGGCUCUCUGGUCCGGACCUGACGCUGAGGCGCGAAAGCGUGGGGAGCAAAC